rnacentral:lncRNA from 1 species
CAGGGAUCCUCUUCCCUUCCCUUCUUUCUACCCCAAGCAUCUCCUACCUGGCUUUUCAACUCCCUGGGAAGAGACAAGAGGAGAGAUCAGUACAGCCUUAGCAGGACUUGAGCUACAUCCAAGUGUCUCUUCAGCCAGAAGUAGCCUUACCCUAGUGGAAGAUGUGUGGACAAGUUAUUCCAGGAGGAGUCUGGAGGCCUUGUGUUUCCAGGAAGUAAGAGGCUCUUGUAUAUAUCCUCCAGCUGAAGCCUCUGGGCCACAUGUCAUUGGAGGACAACCAUGGAGCGGAUGAUUGAUCUGGAUAUUUCACAAUUCCCAGUGCGAGACUUUCCCCACCCAAGACCUACAUGUAGCUGGGAUGGGGUUCAAAGGCAUCUGCAGGUGCAGAGUCCACUUCAGCAGCAGCCUCCAGAGUGCUGGCCACUGCCCCCUCCACAGCAGCUGGAGCCCCCUGAGGGCUGGCUGCAGCAGUCAGAGCGCUGGGGUCUGUGGCAGUGGGACCUGCGGCGCCUGUGGUGGCUCAGACAGCAGCCGCCACCCCCAGAGCUGCAGCAGCCCCCAGAGCUGGAACCACAGCAGCCCCCAGAGCUGGAGCCACAGCAGCCCCCAGAGCUGGAGCCACAGCAGCCUCCGGAGCUGACACUGCAGCAGGAAGAGACUGGAGGGCACUUAGGGGGACACUUUGGGGGACACUUAGGGCUGGGGCACUUGGGGGUGCACUUGGGAGGGGGCUGGCACUGCUGCUGGCUCUGCUGGCAGGACAUUUCGGCGGUGGGUGUUCAGGAGCUGAAAGAGAGUCAAAUAGCAAGUUAGAGCCAGGCACAGAGACCACCCUUAUUGCCUUUUUUACCAUCAUUUAUUUUUGCUACAUUUUUAAAACCUGUUCAAAUAAGUCAGAGAGAAAUAAUCUCUAAAAUUUUUUGUCAGAUGCUUUCACAGUGUCUUAUAGGAUCAUCAGGAUGUUUUUAUAAAAUGGAAAUAGAUUAUCUAAUUUUAACCAAGCAAGAUAAUGAGGACAACGGUAUUAACAAACUUGCCCAAAAUUAAUGUCCUUUAAAUGGACAAGGCAAUUUGACAUUCACAGAAUCUGACUGAAGUGUGCCCUUCUGCACCACUCAGAAUUCUGAAAAUGUGCAAUCUAGGAGCCAGUUUAAACCUGCAGUUCUGCUUUUUAAAAAACAAACCAGAAGACCCUAUCUCUAAAAAAGAAUUAGCUGGGUAUAGUGGCAUGCACCUGUAGUCCCAACUACUUAGGAGGCAGGGGCUGGAGGAUCGUGUGAGCCCAGGAGGCCAAUGCUACAGUGAGCCAAGAUCUCGCCACUGCACUGCAGUCUGGGCAGUAGAAUGACACUUUGUCUCAAAAUAAAUGAAACAAAAUAAUAAAAUAAAAAUAAAGACUCCCUUUUGCAGGAGCUUCCCAGAUGGCUGUAUUUAAUUGUCACAAACACACAAUAUAUUAUGGUCAGAAUUGCAAAGGGUCAUUAUAUAAGUUGGCUAUCCCAAAUCAUAUUAUAAAUGGAGAAAUGAGGUCUAAAGCUAAUUGCAGCAAGCUGACACGUGACCCUAGAUUUCCCGGUCUGAUGAACCAGGCCUAGUGAAGUUCCCUCUUAGAACCCACAGACUCCUCCAUCUGCCACCCUGG